UACGGAGGGAGCUAGCGUUAUUCGGAAUUACUGGGCGUAAAGCGCACGUAGGCGGCUUGUUAAGUCAGGGGUGAAAUCCUGGAGCUCAACUCCAGAACUGCCUUUGAUACUGGCAAGCUUGGAGUCCGGGAGAGGUGAGUGGAACUGCGAGUGUAGAGGUGAAAUUCGUAGAUAUUCGCAAGAACACCAGUGGCGAAGGCGGCUCACUGGCCCGGUACUGACGCUGAGGUGCGAAAGCGUGGGGAGCAAACAGG
rnacentral:rRNA from 1 species